AUAUUGGACAAUGGGGGAAACCCUAAUCCAGCCAUGCCGCGUAUGUGAAGAAGGAAAUCGGAUGGUACCACAAUUUAAGUUAGAAGGAAGGGCUUUCGGAUACUACCCUGAAGAUUUGACGUAACCAACAGAUUAUGCACCGUCUAACUACGUGACAGCAGCCGCGGUAAUACAGAGGGUGCAAGCGUUAAUCGGAAUUACUGGGCGUAAAGCGCGCGUAGGUGGUUCAGUAAGAUGGGUGUGAAAUCCCCGGGCUUAACCUGGGAACUGCUUUCAUAACUGCUGAGCUAGAGUACGGUAGAGGGUAGUGGAAUUUCCUGUGUAGCGGUGAAAUGCGUAGAUAUAGGAAGGAACACCGGUGGCGAAGGCGACUACCUGGACUGAUACUGACACUGAGGUGCGAAAGCGUGGGGAGCAAAC
rnacentral:rRNA from 1 species